AUGCAGAUCUUUGUGAAGACCCUCGCCGACGAGACCAUCCUGGUCAACGCAGAUCUAUCGGACACAAUCUACAACGUCAAGACGAGGAUUGACGGCGAGCUUUGCGAUCCCCGGUCCCAGCAGUGCCUCAUGUUUGAUGGCAAGGAGCUGGAGGAUGGAUGCAUCAUAGCGGACUACAACAUUGAGGAGGAUUCGACCGUCCAGCUCGCCCUUCUCCCGAAGUGGCCACGGGAAGUGAUGCAAAUCUUUCUGAAGGCGCCCAACAUUCGGCUCCCCAUCGAGAAUUCAGAUACCGUUGACAUAUUUAGGGAGAAGCUCCAGGAAUUGAAGGGGAUUACCGCGUCCGAGCAGCGCAUCAUCUUCCGCGGAAGCCAGCUGAAGGAUGGUCUCACCCUAGCGGAUUGUGGCGUGGUGAAGAACUCGCUCCUCGAUGUGAUCCUCCGUCUGCGUGGUGGAUAUUUUUUGUUUUAUUUCUUGCUUACCGGCAAAAUCACUACCUAUGAUGUUGAGGACUCGAGUACCGUCGAAAGUGUAAAGGAAAUGAUCCACAAAAAGGAGGGUGCUCCCGUGGACGAACAAAGGUUGAUCUAUGGCGGGAAACAGCUAGUGGAUGGUCAGACCAUGGAGGACUGUGGUAUCCAGAAGUUGUCCACCAUUCGCCUGCUGCUCCGCCUCCGAUAGAAGAUCGAAAUCUUUCUCAAAGGGUUGAGUGGCAAGACCACUACCCAUUAUUUUGAGGAGCUGGACACCGUCGAUUGCGUCAAGGCCAUGAUCCAGGAGAGAGACGGCAUUCCCGCAGACGAACAGAGGCUCAUCCAUGCCGGGAAACAGCUGGAAGAUGGUCGCACCAUGGCGGACUAUGCCCUCAAGGACUACGCCACAAUGCACCUCCUGCUCCGUCUCCGAUCAUGCAGUCAAUGCCCAAGCGUGAGUAGUACCUAG
rnacentral:rRNA from 1 species